CACUGGCACCUCUUCGCAGCUUGUCUCAGCUCUGCAGAGAGCAAUUACAAAUUGAUCAAAUUCUCCCAGCAGCCCUGAAGCUUUUACCCCAUUUUGAAGUCACAGCCUCUCCAAUUCAGCCAGGAUUAACAAGUUCAUUUCAACUUUAUU